rnacentral:miRNA from 14 species
GGCUACAGCAUGGUUGUAUCAAU